rnacentral:sRNA from 1 species
GUAGGCGGGGCGUGAGGUUCUAGUACCCGAGCUCAUACUAGGGACGGGAAGUCGCGACCAGAGCCAUUGGAGGGCGCGGGUACUGCAACCCUAAUCAGAGCCCAAAUGGCGCAGUGGGAAAUGCUGCAGAAUCUUGACAGCCCCUUUCAGGACCAGCUGAACUAUGAGUGUGGCCGUUGCAGCCAGGACCCAGAGUCCUUGUUGCUGCAGCACAAUUUGCGGAAAUUCUGCCGGGACAUUCAGCCCUUUUCCCAGGAUCCUACCCAGUUGGCUGAGAUGAUCUUUAACCUCCUUCUGGAAGAAAAAAGAAUUUUGAUCCAGGCUCAGAGGGCCCAAUCGGAGCAAGGAGAGCCAGUUCUCGAAACACCUGUGGAAAGCCAGCAACAUGAGAUUGAAUCCCGGAUCCUGGAUUUAAGGGCUAUGAUGGAGAAGCUGGUAAAAUCCGUCAGUCAACUGAAAGACCAGCAGGAUGUCUUCUGCUUCCGAUAUAAGAUCCAGGCCAAAGGUAGGAAGCACAUUGAGGGGCUGGAGAAAGAUAAGUGCCUGCUGAGAAGCCGGAGCUGGAAGUGAACAGGAGAAAGCUCCAAUGAGCAGUAGUCACUGUCAGACACACCCCACUGACUACAGUCCUGCUGCCGUGCAAAGCUGGAAGUGCUUUGUGGAGGUUGAGCUGGAGGUGUAGCUGAGAGACAGUAAAUAUUGAGGAAAUGCAUGGAAAACUAACAGUGUUUUAUUUGAGGGGGUGUCUGGUCCAAGCAUGACCAUUCAGAAUUUGCCUGAGGGUCCCACAGGUGCCUGUGCUUUGCUUGGUUUCCCUUUCUUCCUCCACAAAAUUCCUCCUUCCUGACUCCGACCCCAGUCAGGAAGGAGAGGAAAGAACCCCUGGACUGACUCCUAUUCCCACCAUCCAGGGAAGACACCCUCUCUGGACCCCCAUCAGACCAAAGAGCAGAAGAUUCUGCAGGAAACUCUCAAUGAACUGGACAAAAGGAGAAAGGAGGUGCUGGAUGCCUCCAAAGCACUGCUAGGCCGAUUAACGACCCUAAUCGAGCUACUG